rnacentral:rRNA from 1 species
GACGAACGCUGGCGGCGUGCUUAAUACAUGCAAGUCGAACGGAGCCUAGCCGGUAGUUUACUACAGGCGAAAGCUUAGUGGCGGACGGGUGAGUAACGCGUGGGCAAUCUGCCCCUAAGUCCGGGAUAACAGAGCGAAAGUUCUGCUAAGACCGGAUACUCUUCCUUGGUCGCAUGGCGGAGGAAGGAAAGGAUACGCUUAGGGAUGAGCCCGCGUCCCAUUAGCUAGUUGGUGAGGUAACGGCCCACCAAGGCGACGAUGGGUAGCCGGCCUGAGAGGGUGGACGGCCACACCUGGGACUGAGACACGGCCCAGACUCCUACGGGAGGCAGCAGUAGGGAAUUUUCCGCAAUGGGGGAAACCCUGACGGAGCAACGCCGCGUGAGGGAGAAGGUCUUCGGAUCGUAAACCUUUGUCAUCGAGGACGAAAACUGACGGUACUCGAGGAGGAAGCCCGGCUAACUACGUG